AGGCGGAAGGGCGUGUAAGCUAUCUGCCUUGGCCCUGUUGCGCUUCAUUUCGGUAGAACAUUAUCGCACGCGGAUCUCACUUUGCUGUGGUCUCAGACGGACUUUCCGUUCUUGAGGAAUGGAAAGAACAAUAAAGCACGUUACAGACAUUUGAAUUUAGUUGACAACAGCCAUACGUCCCUUAGGAUGGGACUGCGUUUGCGUAACCUUCUCCGAGCAACUCGCUAAACACUGCGCAUCCUGACGGAUUAAGUUUUUACUACUGCAAGUGGGAGCUUUUUGAGAUGCGGCGCGGCGGCCUGCCGCGGGAUGGAUGAGGAGUGGCUGGUGGUGGCCGCGUGUGUCGCCGUGGCGUCGCUCACCGUGCUGGCCGUGGUGGCCUGCUACGUGCGCGUCCUCUCCCAGCUGUGCUGCUCCACGAGGGACGUCCGCUGCAUAGGCUGGUGCUAAAACUGGAAAGCCUUUCCUGAGGAGGGCAUCAGGUGUUGGAAACGUCGAAGCACAGCGCGGAGUUGGUGCGGCCAGGAUGGAACCGCCUCACCUCCAGACAAGGGCAUCGCAGCCAGUUCGCCGGCUGGAACAACUCUGGACACGAAGAAGCCCUGCAGUGUUUCGGCAAUGAACUCCAGACCGAGCGUCCGCAACUAUGCGACGCUUUCACGGUGCAGUGUGCGUAAUGAGACUGUGGACCCUAUAGAUGGGACUCGUUUCUCAUAGGACGCUCAGUUCUGACGAGUUCUUGUCCGAGAGCGCACCUGCAGCAAUGGUGAAAGCCUAAGACGACGGAACUCUAUAAGUGCCUAUAUACACGCUCCUUAUGCCAUGUGCUAAAGAAGAACGCGAUAGCAUCUGUGUAUUUAAACGUACAGCAGUAUUAAACACAGAGCUAUCAUGGCGUCAAGUCUGGAAAGAGAGUAUGUAGUUCUUCGUUUGGAACUGCUACGGUAUAGACCGUGGUAGUGGGCAACACGGAAAGAAGAAAGCUGUGCUACUGUGAAAAGUUCUGAAUGAUCAGACGGCAGGAUAGGGGAAUCGAGAAGACUCAUCCGAAAAUACUUAUCCUCAGAGGACGAAUCUUCGUCUCAAAUUAUUUGAGAAUUAGCGACGGUAAUGACCGAUUCGUAGUUAACAUUAGAGUCGCUAUCCUGAUUCCUCGAGACCGAGUCGAGAGAACGAAGUUCAUUUAUGUUAUGGGUAAAAAUCCGGUCACUGUCAGUAUUGAGGUUUCUUAGGUUUUCAUUUCCGAUAUCUAUUCCGAAUUGAAAGCUCCAUCAUCGGGCUCUCUACGAUCUACUCGAGGUUUUUCGUCAUGACGUGUUUAAUCAGUCACAGUUGCAUAAUCUAUUUUGUGAGAAUCUGCUUCACUACUUGGAUGAAAUUCGCCACGAGCUACCAACGAAGCAGGUUCAUGAUAUAGACUUUACAACAUCAUGAAGGCAAUCUCGAGUAGACCCUGGAAACAAUCAUGAUAAAGCUUACAAUGAGAAAUACGAAGGGGAAAUAAAAAUCAGGAAAACCGAAAUACUGGCAGCUGCUAGACUUUUAUUCACAAAAUAUUAAUCCAUCGUUGUGUCAGUGUCGUAUAUGAAGAAAUUAUAGAUAAUUAAAAGAAAACGGGAGGCUGUCAGCAUGUUAUUUCCAGCGCAACUUCUCUUUAAAGUUCCAAUGGCACGUCUUUACUGUCAUGUUUUAAAGCACCGCAUAUUUACUGCGACAAUACGUUUGCUCUACACUCGUCAAGGCGCUCCACCAACAGUUUCCCGCUUUUCUUGCUCUGACCGCGAAUGACACGCGGGUAGAGCGAAUAUUCGUAAGCCUCCAUGUAGUCUCCAAUCUCUCCAGUUGUACCUCCGUGGUCUGUCCGCGACGUAUGAGAAACCAAUACGCUCGUUGUCUCUUCUAAGAAUAUACGCUUUCAGAAUUUCGUAAACUUCUCAGGGAUACGCAACGCCUCUCUUGUAGCAUCUGCGAAAGCAAUUGGAUGAACAUUUCCGCGACGCUUACGCACUUACUGAAUGAUCCCGUGGGCAACCAUAUCGCUAUUCUCUCAAUCUGCUGUAUUUUCUAUGGCAAUCCCGCUGAGGAAAUGAUAGGCAACUAUCGGUGGAAUGACGGUUUUGUAAGCUAUCUCCCUAGUGGGUGGAACACAUUUUGCGAGAUUUCUCUCAAAGAAUCUCAGUCUCGCAUCUGCCUUUCCUGCGAUUGUAACUAUAAGGUUUGUAUCAGUUAUUGCACACACGUACACAUUUUAAUUAUUGACUAUAUUGGUUUCAAGUUCUAAGUUAUUAUCAACAUCCGUAUAAAAUAAUGAACAGUGGAGAGAAACACAAAUGUAAACAUUGCAUUAAGAAAGUAACUGUACAGGUACGUACAUGGGACAAAUUGAAACUGGUAACCCAAUUAAUGAAACCUUCUUUGGCGUCAGGUGGUUAAAAUCACACGAACUUUCGACCGGGCUCUCCUCGGCCAUUGUCAAGUGGUGUUUUCAGACAUAUUUAUUUCUAUAGCUUCUUUUAUGACUCUAUUCCAAAACCCACUCGUCCUCAUAAUGACAGGGGUUCUUCGAAAUUAAUCGGGUAUCGAUUUUCCGAAUUGUAUCCUGCCAUGGCUGAUUUUUCAGGGCAGCGUACGUGUAAGCAGCUCUCUUGUUCCUUCCAGCUUCACGGUGCGUACUGUUUGGUCGACGUAGCAGCAGCGACGUCAUGGUAUCUUCUAGAAGUCAGAAAGCCUGGAGUGUAAAUCGUCCUUCACCGGCCCCGUGAGCCGUACUACUUUUGAUGGGGGCCUCAACACUGAUGAAACGUUGUGUCUCUUCAGAAGCCGAGUAAUAUUUCCCGACACUGCUACACAGAAACACAGGUUUCUUGUUCUCCACUUCCGUCGUGUUUCCCCAGCGUGUCUGGCCAGAAAUAGUGAGUAUUACCUGGCGGUGACUAGUCGUUUUCCCACAAGACUUUUCGGAGGUGGCUUAGUUAUAGUUACAGGUUUUCAGCGACGUGACUUUAGAACGGUGGACGAGGGUGAUCUGAACGGCAGACCCCCAACAAGAUUUUAUAAAUGGGCAUCGCCGCGAGACGAUGCAUUCGUACAUCGGUAGCGUAAUGUAUCUUGGCCGACGCUUGCAUCAGUCUAAGGUAGGAGCAAACGUAUCUUGACGACUCGUACUAGAGGACCCAGCAGCAGCAGUCAGCAAUCCGUCCUCAGGCCACAAGCGGCCCAUCGGGACCGUCCGACCGCUGUGUCAUCCUCAAUUGAGGUUCGGAUAGGAGGGGCGUGUUGUCAGCACACCGCUCUCCCGGUUGUUAUGAUGGUUUUCCGUGACCGAAGCUGCUACUAUUCGGUCGAGUAGCUCCUCAAUUGGCAUUACGAGGCUGAGUGCACCCCGAAAAAUGGCAACAGCGCAUUGCGACCCGAAUGGUCACCCAUCCAAGUGCCGGCCACGCCCGACAGUGCUUAACUUCGGUGAUCUGAACACUUCAGCUGAAGAUUUGACACAUUUAAGCGAUGUCUUAAAAUAUUAAAAAAUAUUGUUUUUUUAAAUAGACUUUGGUGGAUGAAAAAGCACUCCGUCUUCAGGCCACGAGUGGCAUACCGGGACCAUCCGACCGCCGUGUCAUCCUGAGUGGAGAAUGAGGAUAGGAGGGGCGUGGGGUCAGCUCACCGUUCUUCCGGUCGUUACGAUGGUAUUCUCGACCGAAGCCGCGACUGUUCGGUCGAGUUGCUCCUCAAUUGGCAUCACGAGGCUGAGUGCACCCCGAAAAAUGGCAACAGCACAUGGCGGCCUGGAUGGUCACCCAUCCAAGUGCCGACCACGCCCGACAGCGCUUAACUUCGGUGAUCUCACGGGAACCGGUGUAUCCACUGCAGCAAGGCCAUUGCCCUCUGGUGGAUAACUAUUACGAAUAUUAAAGCUUUUUGGAUGUUUUUAUAUUAGAACUAGUAUAUAAUUACCCAAGGCAAUGUUAACACUCUGCCGUCCGGCGACACCACAGUGGUGUCGUGAGCAAAUUAUCGCGCAGUGGCCGGCCACAGCAGUUUAAUAUCUUUUGUUUUCCACUGGUGUUUUGUUGAGGUAACAAUAAGUUACACACAUCAACAAGUUUUUUGUUUUUAUAAGUAGUUGUGCCCUUUCAUCAUGGCAGACGAAAGAGACGGUACGAUUAUUUACGAUCAAUGCGCGGAGCAAAACUUUGAGGUUGCCACUACAUCGCGUACGUCUCAUCAUGAUCCGGUUGACAGACUUUCCGGUCACAUAAAGCAACACCAACUAACAGGUAUACGUAUUUCCGAAACCAAUAAACGAAAAACGAAGAAACUUCCAUGUAUGUUACAAAAACAAAAAAAAGAACAUUAAACUUAAUGUGCAAUCUUGUCGAGUUGCGUUACAUCCUGGAGACUGUUUUGCUGCAUAUCACACGAAAGAGAAAUAUUAAGUACGUAAGACAAAAAUGUUCAAAUGUGUGUGAAAUCCUAUGGGACUUUAGGUCGUCAGUUCCUAAGCUUACACACUACUUAACCUAAAUUAUCCUAAGUAUAAACUCACACACACACACACACACACACACACACACACACACACACACACACACAUGCCCGAGGGAGGACUCGAACCUCCACCGGGACCAGCCGCACACUCCAAGACUGCAGCGCCUUCAGACCGCUCGGCUGAUCCCGCGCGGCUUCCAAAGACAAUGGAAAUAAAUAUAUGAAACAAACAAAUUUUGUAUUUAUUUACGUAUGUAUAUCUUCGAAAUUUCAUGUUAAGUAAGGGAAUAGUGUUGAGAUGAGAUGAGAUUAGUAAAACGUAACAAUUUAUAAUCUCUCGAUUAUGUCAGGAACGGCCGGUGACAAGCCAAGUAAUCCGAAUUAGCACUGCCGGCGCCAAGAGAAUAAAUUUGUGUGAGACGUGACGACGGCAAAGUAUUAACAGAGCUGUUGUAUGAUGAAGAUGCUGGUGGUGCAUCAAAAUAAUGAUGAUAUGGAAGUGGAACGAUGAGUAAGACUGUUGGACACUGUGGAACCGCUGCUAGUCAUUAAAAGUCAUUGAGGGGAAGGAGGAAAGUGGAAUGGUUGCGUAAGGUGUGGCGUUCUUACUGCGGCUAGACAGAAGGAUAAAUCUCGGGACGAAUUUCGUGAUUGGGUAGUAGAGGUUUGUUGAAGUUGCGGUGUGACAGGAUGGAUAGGACAUGGGAAAGGGGGGGGGGGUGCAUGCAAGAUGGGAUACGGAUGCAGUGUCGUUGCAAGGUGCCUGGAUUGCUGAGUAGUGGUGAGGGUACUGGGUGAAUGGGGCCGGCCAGCGAAAGUCCUUACACAGCCAUACGUGUCUGUGCGAGCUAACGCAAUUUCAUUUGCGCGUGUGAUUUAAAGUUAGGCUGACGCAGAAUAAUACAGCAGAUGAGAGGGCUUUACAUUACGGAAGAGCAGUCCAGAAUUAUCGAAAAACGUUUUAGAGAAUUAUUAAGUAAUUAAAUAGCGUUUUCACAGGCAUGCCGAGUAAUAGGAUGACGUAGUUUCGGGGGGUGGUCCUGUUGGGGUACAUGACAGAGACGUGCCCGGCGCCGAUUGAUGGAACCGACGCCAUCCCACUGGUCGGGAAGCAUAGAGAUGGUAAGCGAAGGCAGAGUCAGCGACGCCUUUUGAUACUGUAGAGAAGCGAAAAAAGUUCUCGUGGGCGAGCCUGACACAGGUUGCUACGCGCCCACAGUUAUGUUGGGCUGCAGAGCGUUUCUACACUGUUCCUUGUCUUAUACACAAAUUGAUAAUGACUGAUAAGAAGAUACUGAUAUAGCCAAUUAAAAAAAAGUGGAGUUUGCGUUGACUGAAAUAAACUUUAUAGUCCAAGUUAAUGAGAUCACAGCAACAUGGCAAAUAUGAUUGUUUUAUGUGGUCGUUCUUUUUACUUUUAGUGCCCCCUGCGCGAAGUCCUGCCGCUGUUACGGUGUCUUUUGUUUUUACUGUCUAAAUGAAACGGCGAUUUUGCACCUAGUUGUCCUGUCUAUACUAUCUCCACCAAACACAUGUGUCUUCUUUUGCCGUUCUAGCUGAAAGCCCGUUUGCGAGUAAAGAUUUCGGUUUCUCUCCGCAGCAUCUGUCUAUCAUCGGAUGAGCUUUCACGUAUUGACACAGUUUUGCCUUCUCUUCCGUCAUACAUGAAAAAGUCGGCUGGAGGUAAAGAGGUUCAGACAGUCCGUACAACUUUGCGUUCUCUUGUCGUACGCAACAAGGAACGUGCAUAUAGGCACUAAUUCUCAGUAAGAGCUCAAUAUAUGGCCUAUCACAGCAACUGAACUGCAGUUUCGAACGAGCACUCAGCUGCGCGAGAAAGUAGAUCUCGGGCUAAGUGCCGUAACAACAACAUAUCGUCAGAAAGAAACUUCUGUAGUCUUGAUCAGUGAUUUGUAUACUUUUCUACUACACUGCUUAAUUUUUCCUUCUGAACCGAUGUUGUGAACUACGUUAUGCGAUACUGUUGGGCUAAUCCUGAAGUUGCAAACAGUAAAAAACAAAACGGAAAAGGACAGUAAAGAGGAAACUUGAAAUGAAUUGGAAACUUUGUUUCUGCUACUACAUUAUGUAAUAAAGUACUUUCACUGAA